ACGUACACUCCUGCGGGAGGCAGCAGUGGGGAAUAUUGCACAAUGGGCGCAAGCCUGAUGCAGCGACGCCGCGUGGGGGAUGAAGGCCUUCGGGUUGUAAACUCCUUUCGCUAGGGACGAAGCUUUUUUGUGACGGUACCUAGAUAAGAAGCACCGGCUAACUACGUGCCAGCAGCCGCGGUAAUACGUAGGGUGCGAGCGUUGUCCGGAAUUACUGGGCGUAAAGGGCUCGUAGGUGGUUUGUCGCGUCGUCUGUGAAAUUCUGGGGCUUAACUCCGGGCGUGCAGGCGAUACGGGCAUAACUUGAGUGCUGUAGGGGUAACUGGAAUUCCUGGUGUAGCGGUGAAAUGCGCAGAUAUCAGGAGGAACACCGAUGGCGAAGGCAGGUUACUGGGCAGUUACUGACGCUGAGGAGCGAAAGCAUGGGUAGCGAACAGGAUUAGAUACCCUGGUAGUCC
rnacentral:rRNA from 1 species